rnacentral:lncRNA from 1 species
CUCUUGAUUAGCUGUGUGACGUUUCACAGGUUGCCUAACCCCUCUGAGGUUUGGGUUUCACAGCCAUUAAAUGGGUUGAAUACCCAGGAACCUGAUUACCUUGAGGUGGUCAUGGGGUCAGGCCUGCAGCUCCAGCCUUGGAGGUGUUCUGUUUGGGCAGCCAUCAGGGGAAACUACUUGAGGAGGAGCCAGUGCCUUGGGAUUAAGAAGAUGGUGCUCCUCCCUCAGGGCUGACACUGGUGACCAGGGCCAUCUGGGGCAGAGCUGUGAACCCAAGGAAGCAGCUGAAUAAGCAAGCAGGCAGCCUGCCAUGGGGCCCUGCUCCAAGAACCGGUCCUUCUGCUGGAUGAUUGGGCUCCUGGUAUUCAUUAACCUCCUCCUUAGUGUCUGCAGCACGGCAGCCAACACUUCUGGAGCACAUGGCUCUGCAGUGAAGGAUUCUGGAGCCCCCAUUCAUCUGAAGGGGAUCCGAGGAGGUUCUGUCUUGUUGCAUGUGAUUGAGAAGCUCAGAGUAGAUGUAGGUGCUGAGCUGGAGGAGGUUCUGUGGGCUUUGGGCACUCUGUCAAAUCAUACACAGCUUCUGCAAGUCCACAGCGGGGCCGAUUCUCCAACCUGGUUGAAACUCCAGGACAAGUUCAAGCAGAGCAUCCAUGUACCCAGCAUGUCAUCCCUGAGGAUUGAGAACCUGGCCCUUGAGGACAGUGGGCAGUACUUUGCCCUCAUCUCUAGUGGGGGAGAUGGGAUUGUGUAG